ensembl:misc_RNA Metazoa_SRP Metazoan signal recognition particle RNA
GCCGGGCAGGGUGGCACAUGCCUACAGUCCCAGCUACUCAGGAGGCUGAGGUAGGAGGAUCUCUUGAGCCCAGGAGUUCUGGGCUGUAGUGCGCUACGCCAAUCGGGUGUCCAUAAUAAGAUUGGCAUCAAUAUGGUGACCUCCCUGGAGCGGGGGACCACCAGGUCGCCUAAGGAGGGAUGAACCGGCCCAGGUCGGAAACGGAGCAGGUCAUAACUCCCAUGCUGAUCAGUAGUGGGAUCGCGCCUGUGAAUAGCCACUGCACUCCAGCCUGGGCAACAUAGUGAGACUCCAUCUGUU